rnacentral:sRNA from 1 species
UCAUUAUGAUGGUGGUGAUGAUGAUGAUCAUGAGGAAAAUUUGAUGCUUUGGGAGACUUUGACGAUGAAGAGGGAUUUUCCUGAAGAGUGCCCCAAAACAAUUGAAUAAUUGUUGUUGUUUUUUUAAACAAAGCUGCAUAUUGAAAUGGAUAUUUUUUGUUUGUUUCACAUCUAUGCCGGAGACAUGUUUCAAAAUUACAUACAAAUAAUAUGAAACACAUAAAAUAUGGAUAAAUUUAAUGGUAAAUGGCAGUGAGACAAAAUUAGAAUAACAAUAAAGCACUGAAGAGAGUGAUGUCAUUAUACAAUGAUGAGUAUGGGGAAGGAGUGUGGACUAAAGAAUCAAUGGUAUUACAUUCCAGAGCUUGCUUGUAACCGAUCAGUCUCAGGAUCACCAUCUGUAUGAUGUACUUCUCCAUUUCUGCUAACUCCAUCACCAGGAU